GCCUGGGUAGUUCAGUGGCAGAACGCUUUCUUGGUAAGAAAGAGGCCGGGAGUUCGAUUCUCCCCUCAGGCUCCA
rnacentral:tRNA from 2 species